GAAUCCAGCCGAUUUCAAACCUGGCUCAAGGGGAGGCUCCGAACUAGUCCUCUCCCGCACCCCGUCCAGAACUGUUGACGUAGGCCGAACUGGGUCUAUGUUUGAACUCCCAUGAGAUGCGAAGAAGAAAAAGUCGUCCGUCUCACUCUCCUCUUGAUUAUACGAUCUGUAAUUGAACAUCUGUUGAUCCUUUUUUGCAGUUGACUUGCAGGGAACAAAUUCAGAUAUUGAUUUCUUUGAAGCUCUGUAGCCCAGGAGUAUACUUACAGGUUUCUAUUGCCAUGCCUGAUUUAUCCUUAUGGAACUUAUGUUUGCUCUUUAUUUGGCCUUCAAUUGCUAUUUUGUAGAUACAACUAUGUAUGUUUCAUACAAGAUAGAGCAAGAAAUUGGGAUAAUAAAAUCACUCAGGAACUACAAAUUAGUACUAAAGGCUACUUUUUUAACAGCUUACAGCCUUAAAAUUAUAUAGAGACACUGUUGGGAAUUCCCUUGCCAGUGAGUCCACCCUUUCUAGAGUUAUCUGAGGUGUUAGGGAAAAGUAAGGUGUAAGGCACCUUUACAGGCCCAACUCUGUUCUUCCAUUUCUCGUCAUUGUUCAUAUCUAUAAUUUUCUUUUCAAUUUCUUUCAGCCUAUUUGCAAACGUUUCAAAUGCUGCUAGUGGUUCAGGAUCUGAAGUCCAGUUAGUAGCAUCUCUUUGUCCAAGGUAGACCUCAUCAGUUGAAUGCCUUGAUAAAAUCUCAAUGAGGGCUACACCAACCAGGGUUUGUAGUUGUGCUGUGAUUGUUUUCAGGAAGGCGAGGUUUGGGUUUCUCUCCAAUUCAGCAUACUCAGGGGUGCCAACCUCAGGCAUGAAACGACGACUUAGAGUUGGACGGUUAGGGAGGUAGCCAGCAUAAGGGUAUUGCCCAAAAUUGACAGCUGCAUGGAGGGCUGAAGCUAUCCAUAUGAUAAUAGUGCAUGUUUGUGUAAGAUCAGCUAGUGUCUGCAUCUCAGGCCACCAUGGUUCAUCUUUCUUGUCGCCAUGCCCCUCAUUGCGAAUCUCUGUCCACCAUGACUGCAGUUCAUUAUCGUUUUGAACAAUUUCAUUUUCUGGGUAGUAGAAAGCACAAUAUUCCUCAACCCAUGUAUUUAUUGCAGACCAGAUUUCUAAACCAUCAACAGCAUAAGGGUAAUCUUCUAUCAGAAGUCUGAGACCAUGCGGCUGCGUUGAAUCUGGAACUGCUACUCCUCUGAAAUGUAGCAAAACCAGUAUGAAGUUUUGUUUUUCUAAAGAUUAGAAGAUUAGAUGCAAGGCUAUUUUACAGUUUAAGGUUCUGCGUGUUACCUCUUGAGCAGAUCAGCAGGGAGUGCCUGCUCAGGGAAAACCCAGUUCUUGUAAACAACAGCAGAUAGUUCCAUGGAAUAUUUGGCAGGGAAGACAGUUUUCUCAAGUAUCCCUCCAGCAUUGAUCAGAAUAUGCCUAGCUAAGGCAUUUAUAUUCAUUGUAUCACGGAAGUGGGGAUGCAGAAGUUUAUAUAUUGGAUGAAGAACACUCAACUGUCUGUUUGUGGCAAUUACGAAUGGCUCUAUUACAGCAUGGGUGUUUAACCUGCAGACAAAGGCACAAGCUUUUAGGUAUGCAUUCUUAAUUAGAACACAGUUUUACCUUUUGCUUAUUGAAUCAUACCAAUGGCUAAUGAGCUGAUGGUAUCCAGAAUCAUUUACAGCAACAUAAGCUUUGGCCAGCUGCCACACUGAGCCCUCAACACCAUCUUCCGUUGGAGUGAAAACUUUGCUGACAGCACCACGACGUUCACCCUGUGGAUGUGGUAGACUUAAUUCGAUAGCCAAUGGCUUCAAUGUACCAUCAUUUUGCAGUAACAGGAUUGUUCUUGUAGCAUAAGUCUUUGUGGUUGUUGAGUUUAUUUUUGGGAUGUAUGGCAUCAGUGCAUCAUGAUGAUCUAAUAUAAAGAGUCUGUUGCUUCUGAUUGCCUAUGUAUGAAAUUAAAAAAAAAAAAAAAUCCAUUGUUUGGGAGUCAACUGCAGGUUUUCUUGUUGUAAGAUUGAUUUUCAAGCAUGAACAAAGACAUGAAAGAAAUGAAGAAUUUUUAGUACUUGAUCUA